AACGGCGCCAGGCGGGCUCUCCCGGCCGCCCCACGCCCCGUUCAGACGUGGGGCCGGUCCCGCCUCAGCCUCUCCCACAGGGACACCCCGGCUCCCGCCGCCGCCCCCGGGCUUCUCCGGGGGGGGGCAGCGGGAGGCAGGAGCGCGGCCGGCGCGGGGAAUUGUGGUUACCAGGGAGAUCCGUCCUGCCCGGCCGCCGCGGCCGGCCGGGGACACCCCGCACGCAAAGGUCCCGGCUCGGGGACGGCGGCGGCGGCGCCCGGGACGGCCCCGCUCGCGCUCGCGCUCCCGCCGGCGUGGGGAUUCUCCGGUGAGUUCAGAGCCAUGGAAGCAGCAAGUUGUGCUCGCAGCGGGCACCGCGGCGGCUCCGGCGGCGGACGGGGGGGGUUAUAUUUAAACCGCUCCGCAACUUUCUCGCCGCCGUCAGCACCCCCGCCGCCGCCCAGCCUCCGGAGGUAAAGUUUAAGCGAGUCCCCCCCGCCAGCCCUUCGCAGCGAGGCUCCAACGGAGGGGGAAAAUGUGAAACGUUCAGACGGAGAAGUGGUUCCCUUUGUUCUUUCAUUGUUUCUACCCGAACUGGCGGACACAAGGACAGACACUUACCUUCUCUCCUUUUUGCUCCAAAACACGCGCGUUCCCAUCAGCUUUAAAAUGCACUGUCCGCUUUGGAAGCGACUACAAAUGUCGGGAGAGUUUGUAUUCCAUUCUUUUUCGCUCCCUGCUCUUUUUAGCGUAAGAUUAAGUUGCCGAGCACGUUGUUGCAAGCUGUAGCCCCCCGCCUUAGUGAAUGGUCACGUUUAGGACCCUCCAAGUCCAUCCUAAUUCUGCCAGUAGAAUUGAGGGUAUUGGAGGUCUAAACUUUCAAAAGGAAUAGGGCCUGCGUGUAUCUAGCAGACCUGAAAAUGCAUUCCCUUCCUCACUCACUUUCACUAAACGGAUAUAAACAUUUCACCCCGGACAACUCAAUGAAAUAUACAUUUUAAAACUUGAAUGUAGAAAAGCUGUUCCCUCAGUUCAGAUAAGCGAAAAGCAAACUGGCGUGCAGAAAAUCUACCUCGGUGUAUUCUGCAGCGGGAAUCGUUUCUGUCUGGAGUUUGAAACGAACAAAUAAAUAAGAGCAUCAUGUA